rnacentral:lncRNA from 1 species
UCUUUGGAUAACCCCACCCCCAUUAACUUUUCAUAUAAUCAUUAUGCUCAUUACACAGUUGUACCAUCAAAUAGGAAAGUAGCCAUACAUAUUUUAACAUAUUUCAAAACAAGCAAGUGUAUUCUUUUUGUAUAUAGAACAGUAGUCACCAAGAACACUAUUUUGCCCAGGUAAUUGUCUAUACUGCUUUAAUUAAUAGUUGUGAACCAGUGCCUCUUUUCUGCUGGGUAUAAUAACCAGGAAGCAUCUUGGUAACAAAGGGACUCUGAGGUGUACUUCUAGGUUAUUACCAUAAGAUGGCGAUAUUAUGAAAUGCAGAGCACCUCACCUCAGACUAAAUUCUACCCAAUGAAAACUGAUUUUUGAAAAAACACUUAAAAUUAGUGUGAUGAAUUAUGUAAUAAGGUAGAUAUAACCUUAAAAUAUUAAAGUUGUAAUUAACAUCUGGAUUCUAUUAUGUGUCUGAUUCUUCCCUGCUGUUUCUCUUGGCAACAAUCAUUGAUUUAAUUUGACAUUGAAUUGUGAACUCAAGUCUUUCCCAGUUGCUCUAUAAGUUCUUACCUAGCUCCCUAACUACCUCUGACAAUUUGAGGCUUGAGUAAAGCCAGUAAAGUGUCAACAUCUCUCUAUUAAUGUAAUGCCUUUCUUAAACAUUUUAUUAUUUCUAAAUAAUGAUUAACUACACUCAAUCUAGAUGAGAAGAGGAACUCCUCCUUUGGAAGGGUCCCAUCAGAUGGUGGACAAUGGAGGUUUUGGAGCAUGUUUCAGAAUGAAAACAGAAUGGGAGAAUAUUUGGAUUGGCAAAGAGAUAAAGAAAUGAGGAUUCUAAUUCACUACUUAGGUGUGAGUGAUUUUGUAUCAAACUUUCUUUGAAGCAAUUUGAGAAAUACACUGCAAAAGUCUUGACAAAAGUUUAAAUCUAGUUGUUCCAGUUCUAAGAUUUACUGUAAUGAUAAUUACUCAUUCAAUAACAUUUUAAAUUCUAUAUUAUCUUUCACUUAUUAAUAGUAGAUAUAUAAUUGUAAGAGCUACAACUGAAAAUGAAUAUUUAUAAUUGAAAUUGCAAGAAAUUCAAAUAUCCUAUUUGAUAUGUCAGGUUUAUGUAUCUACUAAAAUAUAUAUUUUUCAGUAAUAUUUGGUGUUGGGUAAUAGUGUUCAGAAAAUAUUUUAUUUAAUUUUAACUUAACUUUUAAUUUUAUUUGAAAGGGAAGGAGAUGCAGAGAGCAAAAUAAGGAGACACUGAGAGAGACAUCUUA